GCGACGUAGCUCAGGGGUAGAGUACUUCCUUGGUAAGGAAGGGGUCGUGGGUUCAAUUCCCAUCGUUGGCUCAA
rnacentral:tRNA from 1 species